CGUGAAUAAACAAACAGCUCGUCUGAAAUGCCUGAGUGUACCCCGCUUUGCGGCGUAUUCGGUGUGAUAAAUCUUCACCGGAGUUGAUCCCUUUAUGGGGUCGCGUCUGUAAUGGUGUGGCUCUAUGCUUCGAACCGUCUCCAAGAGACAACCUCUGACAAUUUGACCUCAAAUCGGGUGGGACUACCCGCUGAACUUAA
rnacentral:misc_RNA from 1 species